AGAGUUUGAUCCUGGCUCAGAUUGAACGCUGGCGGAAUGCUUUACACAUGCAAGUCGAACGGCAGCACGGGAGCUUGCCCCUGGUGGCGAGUGGCGAACGGGUGAGUAAUGCGUCGGAACGUACCGAGUAAUGGGGGAUAACGCAGCGAAAGCUGUGCUAAUACCGCAUACGCCCUGAGGGGGAAAGUGGGGGAUCGCAAGACCUCACGUUAUUCGAGCGGCCGACGUCUGAUUAGCUAGUUGGUGGGGUAAUGGCCUACCAAGGCGACGAUCAGUAGCGGGUCUGAGAGGAUGAUCCGCCACACUGGGACUGAGACACGGCCCAGACUCCUACGGGAGGCAGCAGUGGGGAAUUUUGGACAAUGGGGGCAACCCUGAUCCAGCCAUUCCGCGUGAGUGAAGAAGGCCUUCGGGUUGUAAAGCUCUUUCAGCUGGAACGAAACGGUACGCUCUAACAUAGCGUGCUAAUGACGGUACCGGCAGAAGAAGCACCGGCUAACUACGUGCCAGCAGCCGCGGUAAUACGUAGGGUGCGAGCGUUAAUCGGAAUUACUGGGCGUAAAGCGUGCGCAGGCGGAUUGUUAAGCAAGACGUGAAAGCCCCGGGCUUAACCUGGGAAUGGCAUUUUGAACUGGCAGUCUAGAGUGCGUCAGAGGGGGGUGGAAUUCCACGUGUAGCAGUGAAAUGCGUACAGAUGUGGAGGAACACCAAUGGCGAAGGCAGCCCCCUGGGAUGACACUGACGCUCAUGUACGAAAGCGUGGGUAGCAAACAGGAUUAGAUACCCUGGUAGUCCACGCCCUAAACGAUGUCAACUGGUUGUUGGGGGAGUGAAAUCCCUUAGUAACGAAGCUAACGCGUGAAGUUGACCGCCUGGGGAGUACGGUCGCAAGAUUAAAACUCAAAUGAAUUGACGG
rnacentral:rRNA from 1 species